AGUGGCGGACGGGUGAGUAACGCGUAGGAAGUCUGCCUUAUAUGGGGGAGUAGCCCGGAGAAAUCCGGAUUAAUACCGCAUACGCCCUACGGGGGAAAGUUGGGGGAGUCUUCGGACCUGACGCUAUUAGAUGAGCCUGCGUUAGAUUAGCUUGUUGGUGGGGUAAUGGCCUACCAAGGCGACGAUCUAUAGCUGGUCUGAGAGGACGAUCAGCCACACUGGGACUGAGACACGGCCCAG
rnacentral:rRNA from 1 species